rnacentral:lncRNA from 1 species
UUCCUUCAUAAAGAAAAAUGACGUUGCUUACUUGAAGGACUGAUGUACACUCUAGUUAUACCUUGCCAAACGAACUGAUAAAGUAAUUAAAGGUAUUCGUUUAUCAUGUUUAUUCUUUUCUUGAUCGACCUGCCCAUGCCAUAAUGCGUUCCUUGAUACACUCACUAGAUCAGCUUCAACCAUACUUAAAGAACUUAUAUAUAUAUAUGUGUGUGUGUGUGUUACAAACUAACCAUAUAUAUCUACUUGAUCAACUUAAACUUCAGUAGUUCUGUUCCAGAGUUUGUUCCAAGGGAUUUUCUGCAUCUUCAUUUCCCAAAUUCCCCUCCUUUUAAUCCAAUCAUCUGUAGAAGAAACCCUAUUCGAAACUAAGCCAUCCAGGUAUAUAAUUCACUGGCGCAAAUGUAGUUAGUUAAUUAUUGUCUCUCCCUGUGCAUCUCUUUAUGUUCUCUGUGUGUGUCAAAUGAAUCACAUUUCUUUCAAGCACAUUUUCCCCAUAUAUAUUUGCAAUAAUUCGUAGUCAACAUUCAGAACUUUGUGGUAUAAUUAAGGAAGCUUCCAAGCUAUGGCCGGCCGCGCUAAACAAAGAGACGGUGAAAGGUUGGUUCCCUCUCGAUCCUUUAACUAAUUAAAGUUCCUUGUUUCUGCCUUCUUAUCACUUAUGCAAUCAGCUGAAACUCUGCUGUAGUGAAGACUUGGGAAAGACUUUCGUCUUCUUCUAGCCUCCAAGCUCCUCCCUUUAUUUUGUCUAUUUUUUCUUAUUUAGAAAAUUACUGAAAACUGCUUUGCCACUUUACAUUAUUUAAUUAAUAUACAGGCAUUUCAUUUUUACUAGAUUUAGACCCUAGAUUGAUUGCCACACAGACUUCUUUCCAUUUGAGGGUUGGUGCCAAAUUUUACUAUGUCUAUAAUAUCCUUUUCCUAUAAUGCAGCUGCUUAAUUCAAUGUUUGUAAUGAGUUUUACUUGCUACAAGUGAGUUCCUAGCUUGAUGGCAGGAUUAGAACUAGGUGCUUUGAUGCAUGUAUCUCUCAGUCUAGCUUUUGGCCUCUUAUUAAUGCAAUUAUAUGUCUUUGCCUCUAAAAUAAUUAUCAAAUUUUUAAUUGUUAUGCCAUAAUGUCUUUUAGGAUUUAAGUCCUUCCUGACACUAAGACUCUUAUAUAUGUGAGUUGCAAUUCUUUAGUGAGGUACUUACUAUGUCCGGUAGUUUUUGUUGACCGUGCAUGUUUUCCUUGUGUUGCAUCCUGGUGCUUUAUGCUAAAAAAGGUGUGAUAGUUGCGUUCUUCUGUGGUGCUUCUGGCUGUUGUUGUGUCGGGAACUCGGGAUUACUAGUUUCUUUUUAA